rnacentral:lncRNA from 1 species
CGGGUCAAGCUUAUGACGUUAAAAGAGCGCUAACUGGGAGGCACCCUAGUGAUUGUUGUAUACUAGUUUUAUUUUAGUUGGAUUUGUAAAUAUUGAUAUUUUUGAACAUUAUUUUUGGGUAACAUCUACUGAGGGAUGCUAAAUUUUGUAUCCAUUAAAUAAAUAUCAGGUAGGAACACCCACUGAUGGGUGUUGGCAGGGAUCGCACUCGCUGAUGAGUGCUUAACAGGUUUGGGUCAGGC